rnacentral:lncRNA from 1 species
UUUGUUUUUUUUUAAACACGUGAGCUUCGCCUAGCGAGUAUGACAGUUCAUGAACAAACUUUUGCUCCUUCACGAUUAACGUUUUGACUGACGAAUAGACCCCAUUUGAACCUGUUGGAAGUAUCUCAAGCCAUUCCCUUGUGUUGACUGAUCAUCUAAAUAGAACCCACAAAGUGUCUUGGAUGAUACUCAAGCUUCAAACAAAAGAUGUUAGUGACACAUUUUUGUGCUUUUGGUUAGUAAACAAAAGUAAGAGAAAC